GACACGCUGGCGGCGUGCCUAACACAUGCAAGUCGAACGAAGCAUAGCAAUAUGCUUAGUGGCGGACGGGUGAGUAACGCGUGAACAAUCUGCCCUGUACAAAGGAAUAGCCUCGGGAAACCGGGAUUAAAACCGUAUGACACUUUAGUAUCGCAUGAUAAGAAAGUCAAAUCGAUUAGAGGUAUGGGAUGAGUUCGCGUCUGAUUAGCUGGUUGGCGGGGUAACGGCCCACCAAGGCGACGAUCAGUAGCCGGCCUGAGAGGGUGAACGGCCACACUGGAACUGAGACACGGUCCAGACUCCUACGGGAGGCAGCAGUGGGGAAUAUUGCACAAUGGAGGGAACUCUGAUGCAGCGACGCCGCGUGAGUGAAGAAGGUCUUCGGAUCGUAAAACUCUGUCCUUGGUGAAGAAAAGGACGGUAGCCAAGGAGGAAGCCCCGGCUAACUACGUG
rnacentral:rRNA from 1 species